AUGGAACGAAUGGAAGUGGACCAGUGCGCAGGCGCAACUACCGGGAGCGGAGGAGGGGCCCUUCGUAGAUCGAACAGCGCCCCCAUGAUCACAAGUGUCAGUGAUGGUAUGACAGUGUUCAGUCCAACUAGUUCAGUCCGGUAUCGGCGGAGCAGUGUCUCUGUGAAUCCCAGUUGCCCUUAUCGGGCCGUCCCCUUGUCCCCUUUCUCAUUGGGUGGUGAGAGACCAGACCACAAAAGGCAGGUUGAGAAUAUAGAGAUGACACUCAGGGGGAGUCUUCAGAGACUAAGUGCUUCCAACCUGGUCCCUCCUCCUGUCAGUCACUGGCAUGACCAUUCAUCAGGGGGAUUCCAUUCACAGGACAGUGGUGUCACACCCAAUUCGUCCCCUAGUCCAACUCGAAGGUUUAGGGGGCCUACAGUCAGUUCUACUGUGAGAUGGCCUGCCCUGACUCCACUGAAAAGGAAAGGAGGUGUGGAGUCUGAUGGCCCGCCCAAGAAGCUGUUUGUUGCCGGGGUAACAGAACCUGCUCACCGGACUAGUUACACAGUCAGUGUGUCCCAGGCAUCAGCAGACUCUCCUACAGGUGGUGUGUCUGUGUGUGAUGCCAGUCCCCAGGGUAGUCCACUGUCCCUGUCUCCUCCCCCCUCUUACCAGCCCAACAUCUAGACACCCCAACACUAGGAGCCUAUCAUAGACCAGGACUACAGUCAGCCUGUCAGGGCCCUGGAUCCCUCUCAACACAGCCCCACCCACUCGGUCCACCUACAGAGCCUGGGAAUCAACUCAGUAAGCCUAUCAGAACCUUAGUUUCUACGCAAUCUGCCUAUCAGGGAGCACUCCUCUCUCUCAAACCAUCAGAGCCUUGGGGAAACAUAUUCCUUGGCUCCUGAAGUAAUCAGAUCUGGAUUUGUAAUCAAGAUAAUAUCUAGAUGUUAUACAAAGAUUGGCACCCGUGCUUUGAUGAUCAAAAGGUUGCAGGAAAUGCCCUGCUAAAGGAAGUUGGUGACCAGCGCAUUGUAAGGUAGUGUCAGGGUGAAGAGAUUGUGAUGACAAUGGGAAAGAACUUAGAAAGUAAUUUGACUAACUUCUGGGCUCACUUUUCGCUGUAGUUGACAUGUGGGUUGUGUUGUGAUAACCAAUGUCAACUAUGGUUGUAAUUUUCCUUGUUGGGAUUUUAUUUUUCUCAUAUCCAGAGGUGUUACUGGUACUGUAAAACAGAAUGACUUCCAAUAGUCUUCCAAUAGUCAAGAAAAGGCCUUGUCUAAAGUUGUGUUCAGGGGUAAUGGUGAGGGAACGUUAUAUCCCACUGAACGGGACCCAAUGGUCCAGUAUUCUUUGAUAGUCCAGAAGUUAGCUCUCAAACAUGAGACAUUAAGUCACCACAGCGGACUGCCGAGCCGGUGUAUAUGUGAAUAGUGUAUUGACAUGUGAAUAUGAGGAUAUAACCAGGGCUGCCUUUAUGGCCCCUCACUUUCUCUGGCUGUGGGGGUUUGUACUGUAAAUAUAGAAUCCCCAAGCAAAGCUCUGCCCAGAGGACCCUCCCAAUCCUGGUCCUUAAGGGCCCAAUCCUAAUGAUUGUUCUGCGUGGAUACUGGUAACUCAAAUUUUAGCACAAAUCUGUCAUUGACAUGACAGAGCAAUUCCACUGUAUCAGAGUGACACAAACCAUGUUUCCAUCCACAGUUUUUAUGCCAGUAAAGUCAUAUUUUAUAAAAACAUUUUUUACAACAGCUGUGAUGGUAACAGGAAGUUUCAGUACAAUUUCCUAAAUGCCGACAGAUAAUUUGUUAAUUCGACAUGAUGGGAUCUUUUUGUCUGUAAAAUAGAUUAUGCGAGAAAUGGCUUUAUGCUCUAAUAUUGAUAAAAUAACCAUCAUAUCGAAGUAAACUUGGAGUCACACGAUGACGUGUUGUCCUCCCACUACAACUCAGGGAAACAAUGCAGUUUAUUAGCCUACAGAUGAAAUAAGUUAUGAACUUCACAGGGUGGGGAAAGUGCACAAUGCUCCUUUGUAAUAAAUAUCGAGUCUUAUUCUGGUGACAUGAUGAUCGAUACUUGACUGCCAUUUUGACAAAUAAAAAUAUUCUGGCUCUUAUCCAUAAUAAUCUCAUCAUGUAGACUAGGCAACCUGCAUUGUAUUGGCUAGAGCGCAGGUGCCAAGACCAGUGUAGGCACAUUUGCUAUUUAACACAACUGUUUGUGACCAAAGUAUUGGUAGAGUGAAAACUUAAGCGAAAAAGUAUGUUUUGUGUGCACUGUCAUCACACACCGAUUAUUAUCGGUCAGUUUGGUGGAAACCACCACCGUAUUUUAGAAUAUUCAAAUGAUAAUCUGUCGCCAAUUGGAUGGAAACCUAGCUACAGACUCACAUUUUAAAUAGAAAAAACU
rnacentral:lncRNA from 1 species